AGCGAACGCUGGCGGCAGGCUUAACACAUGCAAGUCGAACGCCCGGGCAACCGGGAGUGGCAGACGGGUGAGUAACACGUGGGAACGUACCCUUUGGUUCGGAAUAACUCAGGGAAACUUGAGCUAAUACCGGAUAAGCCCUUAUGGGGAAAGAUUUAUCGCCGAAGGAUCGGCCCGCGUCCGAUUAGCUAGUUGGUGAGGUAAUGGCUCACCAAGGCGACGAUCGGUAGCUGGUCUGAGAGGAUGAUCAGCCACACUGGGACUGAGACACGGCCCAGACUCCUACGGGAGGCAGCAGUGGGGAAUAUUGGACAAUGGGGGCAACCCUGAUCCAGCCAUGCCGCGUGAGUGAUGAAGGCCCUAGGGUUGUAAAGCUCUUUCGGCGGGGACGAUAAUGACGGUACCCGCAGAAGAAGCCCCGGCUAACUUCGUGCCAGCAGCCCGCGGUAAGGCACGACUGU
rnacentral:rRNA from 1 species